UUUUCUUUUAUUGUCUUUGACUACAAAACACUAUAAAUAUGUAGUCCCUUUGAUGAAUAAAAUCAGUUCAUUUUGGUUGUUUAUUUAUUUUGAGGAAAGAACCCUGACAAUAUAGCUUGCUAUAUGGGUUUCUAUGAGUCGUUCAUGCUUUGCACUACUGCACGGGCUGGCUCAACCCAC
rnacentral:snRNA from 2 species